rnacentral:rRNA from 1 species
UACAGAGGUCUCAAGCGUUUGUUCGGAUUCAUUGGGCGUAAAGGGUGCGUAGGCGGCGCGGUAAGUCGGGUGUGAAAUCUUGGAGCUUAACUCCGAAACUGCAUUCGAUACUGCCGUGCUUGAGGACUGGAGAGGAGACUGGAAUUUACGGUGUAGCGGUGAAAUGCGUAGAUAUCGUAAGGAAGACCAGUGGCGAAGGCGGGUCUCUGGACAGUUCCUGACGCUGGAGGCAACGGAAGGCCAGGGGAGCAAAACGGG